AUCUCACUCUCUCUCUCUGUCUCUGUCUCUCUGUGUCUCUGUUUCUGUCUCUCUCUGUCUCUGUCUCUUUCAAUAUAAGGGCAUGAAUUGGUGGAGAUAAAUGGAGGCUUUGAGUCAGACACCAAACUCAUUGAAAAAAGAAGAGCAUUCUAGAAGUUAGUAGACAACAACUACCAAAAUAUUGAUUGGGCAAUAAAUAUAUAUUGAGUGAACCUCAAAGAAGGAGAGGUUACUGAGUGAUGGUAGAAGAAGAAGAGCUUUAAAAUGGCCAUGGGAAGCCACUUCCAAGUAGGAUACCUGUUUUGACCAAUAGUGGGGGAGGGGGGAUAAGAAUUUUUCUUUAACCCUUACGUUCUGUUCUGGAAUCAAUACUGUGUAUUGCUUCUAAGGCAGAAGAGCAGCAAGGGCUAGGCAAUGGGUGUAAAUUGAUUUGCCCAGGGUCACAUAACUAGGGAGUGUCUGAGGUUACAUUUGAACCCAGGACCUCCCAUCUCUGAACCUGGUUCUCAAUACACUGAGCCACUUAGCUAUCCCCUCAUGGGGGUGGGAUUUUUGAGUGAAAGUGAACCACUGCUGGAAAGGGUGGCCAGAGAAAUUGUGUCACCAGAAGGGAGCUAGGUUUAAGGGAACUCACUUAAGAUCAAAUAAGUAAGGAAGGAAAAGAUUUAAAAUGAAAGCAAGUUCAUUACCUUUGGAGAAAGCAUUCAAACAGCACAGUGGAAGGGGUUGCUAACUUGAGAGUGGGAGGCUAGGCUGAGAAGAAGAGACAUGACUGUGGGAACAGAGAACUGGAUCUGAAUAAUGACAGUUUGGGGUUUAAAAUCACUGAGAUGUGGAAAUUAUAACAGGAUGGGGAUCUGUUUAAUCAUUGAAAUAUUAUUUCGGAUAGGUUUCCAGAUAUCCAGACUCAGUUAGAAAGGUAGAAAGUGGAGUAAGAGGAGAAGGAGCUCUUGUAAGGGCCAACUCAGAGAAGGCAACUAAUAGAAGUGGAAUUGGAAGAAGAGGCCACAGGGUCCACUGGGAGGAAGUGCAAUGGGACAACUCUUCCAAGAAGACCUACAGGGUUAGUAAAAUGGUGCUUGGUAUCCAAACCCUCAUUUUGUAAAUGAGAAGACUGAGGUCCAGUUACUUUGUGUGACUCACCUAAGGCUGCUCUGGCUUCCCCAAAGUGAAUGCUGUCUUUGAAAAAGGUUGGUUCUUGGAUAGCAUUCACAUCCACACACACAUAAUUCAUCACUGAGGCCAUGCAUAAUGCCUUUCCAGGUCUUUGAGACCUACCAGAACUUAUACUUUGUUGCUUAGCUGUCAAGAGCCCGUGAACCAUCACAACAGGUCUUUAGAUUAUGAAGGUACAGAUUCUCGACAAAUCUGAAAUGCUGAGUUCACCGUAUAUAGUAACAUAGUCCAGCCUUGUCCAGCUUAGGAGAUAAAUCUCUGUGAUUUCUUGGCUCCAGAUAUCUCUGCUUCACCAAAUUAGUCAGUCCUUUCCCUUUCUCUUGUUACCCAAGAAUUCUCUUUUCUCUCUUCUUCCCUCUUUCUAGGAUUGAGCAGGUUUGGUCCAGAACUAAGAAUCUACACUUAUAAUCCACCUGGCAAGGAAAAGGGAGCUAUGAAAACCAGACUAUUCACAUUGCAACAGAGUAGGAUAGAGAUAUAGGCAGGAGCCACAUAGGGAGAGUCGACAAUUAAAUUUUCAAUUUGAGCAUUUCACCUCAGAAACUGGCAGGCCUUGAUUUAUUGCUUUGCUGAUUGGCUUGACAUGAGAAAAUGUUAAUGCUGUAGAUUAAACUUAAAAGUAAAUUCAACAUUUUCUUCUGGGGAACUGAUUGCUAAAUACUUACUAGUAUAUUCUUGUAUUGCUCCAGAAACAUUGCUUAAAGUCGGCAGGAAUGCAAUAGAAGCCUUAAGGAAUGAACUCAUCAGCAGGUUUGAGUCCUGGUGAUUGUAAGCUAACCGUAGUAGUAAUAAUAACAAUAUCAUAACUUGUAUUGACACCGAGUUUUAAGGUUUGCAAAAUGCUUUUUAUCUAUCAUCUCAUUUGAGCCUCACGACACUCCUGGAAAGAGCUGGAACGUUUGGGAUGGACCCUUCACAGGUUUCUUCAUAAAUCUGCUGCUGAACUUGAACUCCUUGCUGUGAACAGCCUGAUGAAGAAGCAGCUGAAAGAUGGAAAGCAGAGUCAUCCAAAUCCAGUGGCAAGACAAAAGUCAAGCUAGUGGACCAGUGAUAGCCCAAGGAUGAAGUGGAUGAUGUUAGCAUCUUCAAUGUCUAAUCAAGCUUAGGUGCUCCUCAGCACCUGCUUUAGCUGCUUUCAUGGCCAUUGGAACAAAUUGUUCUCAUCUGUCCAUUCUGCUGGGAGAAUUCUUCACAUGCUUGGGGUAAACAUCCCCCUAAUUCAGCAAAGGAAGACUGCCAUCUGAGAUCAUGCUUGGAGAUAGGCCCUGGCACCAUGGAUAGAGCACUGGGCUUAGAAUCAGGCCAGUUCCUGCCCCACCUCCUUCAUAAAGUCUUCUGUGACGGAGGCCAAUGAAGGAUAUGCUUUCCUUUAUGAUGGAUUCUCUGCAGAAUCAAAUGAAAGGUUUUUGAAAGCUUCCUUUAAACUUAAAAGAGCACUAUCAGAAUGGGGAAGGACACUGGAGAAAACUAUGAAGAUGUAAAAACAAAAGACAUUAAUAAAAUCUUAUUAAUAAAAACAACUAUACAGAGC